rnacentral:rRNA from 1 species
UACGUAGGGGGCAAGCGUUGUCCGGAAUCAUUGGGCGUAAAGCGCGCGUAGGCGGCCCGGUAAGUCCGUUGUGAAAGUCAAAGGCUCAACCUUUGAACGCCGAUGGAUACUGCCGGGCUAGAGUCCGGAAGAGGCGAGUGGAAUUCCUGGUGUAGCGGUGGAAUGCGCAGAUAUCAGGAGGAACACCGGUGGCGAAGGCGGCAUCCUGGACCAACACUGACACUGAGGAGCGAAAGCCAGGGGAGCAAACGGG